AGCAGCCGCGGUAAUUCCAGCUCCAAUAGCGUAUAUUAAAGUUGUUGCAGUUAAAAAGCUCGUAGUUGAAUUUCGGGAUCGAAUUGUUGGUCGUGCUUCGGUACGCACUGGCAUUAUCGGUUUCUACCUUCUGAAGAACCGCGAUGUCAUUAAUUUGGUGUCGUGGGGAAUCAGGACUGUUACUUUGAAAAAAUUAGGGUGUUUAAAGCAGGCUUACGCUUGAAUACAUUUGCAUGGAAUAAUGAAAUAGGACGUUUGAUUCUAUUUUGUUGGUUUCUAGGAUCGACGUAAUGAUUAAUAGGGAUAGUUGGGGGCAUUAGUAUUCAAUUGUCAGAGGUGAAAUUCUUGGAUUUAUUGAAGACUAACUACUGCGAAAGCAUUUGCCAAGGAUGUUUUCAUUAAUCAAGAACGAAAGUUAGGGGAUCGAAGACGAUCAGAUACCGUCGUAGUCUUAACCAUAAACUAUGCCGACUAGGGAUCGGAUGAUGUUAAUUUUAUAAUGACUC
rnacentral:rRNA from 1 species